AGGAAAAGAAACCAACAGGGAUUGCCCUAGUAACGGCGAGUGAAGCGGCAACAGCUCAAAUUUGAAAUCUGGCCCUAGCGGUCCGAGUUGUAAUUUGUAGAGGAUGCUUUUGGUGAGGUGCCUUCCGAGUUCCCUGGAACGGGACGCCGGAGAGGGUGAGAGCCCCGUACGGUUGGACGCCGAGCCUCUAUAUAGCUCCUUCGACGAGUCGAGUAGUUUGGGAAUGCUGCUCUAAAUGGGAGGUAAAUUUCUUCUAAAGCUAAAUACCGGCCAGAGACCGAUAGCGCACAAGUAGAGUGAUCGAAAGAUGAAAAGCACUUUGAAAAGAGGGUUAAAUAGCACGUGAAAUUGUUGAAAGGGAAGCGUUUGCGACCAGACUUUUUCCGGGCGGAUCAUCCGGGGUUCUCCCCGGUGCACUUCGCCCGGUUUAGGCCAGCAUCGGUUUCCUUAGGGGGAUAAAGGCUUGGGGAACGUAGCUCCCUCGGGAGUGUUAUAGCCCCUUGCGUAAUACCUUUCAGGGGACCGAGGAACGCGCUUCGGCAAGGAUGCUGGCGUAAUGGUCGUCAACGACCCGUCUUGAAACACGGACCAAGGAGUCGAACAUUUGUGCGAGUGUUUGGGUGUCAAACCCUCACGCGUAAUGAAAGUGAACGGAGGUGAGAGCCCUUACGGGUGCAUCAUCGACCGAUCCUGAUGUCUUCGGAUGGAUUUGAGUAAGAGCAUAACUGUUCGGACCCGAAAGAUGGUGAACUAUGCGUGGAUAGGGUGAAGCCAGAGGAAACUCUGGUGGAGGCUCGCAGCGGUUCUGACGUGCAAAUCGAUCGUCAAAUCUGCGCAUGGGGGCGAAAGACUUAUCGAACCAUCUA
rnacentral:rRNA from 1 species